rnacentral:rRNA from 1 species
CCUACGGGCGGCUGCAGUGGGGAAUAUUGGACAAUGGGGGCAACCCUGAUCCAGCCAUGCCGCGUGUGUGAAGAAGGCCCUCGGGUUGUAAAGCACUUUCAGUGAGGAAGAACGCCUGGUGGUUAAUACCCAUCAGGAAAGACAUCACUCACAGAAGAAGCACCGGCUAACUCCGUGCCAGCAGCCGCGGUAAUACGGAGGGUGCGAGCGUUAAUCGGAAUUACUGGGCGUAAAGCGCGCGUAGGUGGCUUGAUAAGCCGGUUGUGAAAGCCCCGGGCUCAACCUGGGAACGGCAUCCGGAACUGUCAAGCUAGAGUGCAGGAGAGGAAGGUAGAAUUCCCGGUGUAGCAGUGAAAUGCGUAGAGAUCGGGAGGAAUACCAGUGGCGAAGGCGGCCUUCUGGACUGACACUGACACUGAGGUGCGAAAGCGUGGGUAGCAAACAGGAUUAGAUACCCCAGUAGUC